CAAUAUGAAGGUCAGGCUGAAGACCUUACCCGAUUAGCUGAGAGGUGGUGCAUGGCCGUCGUCAGUUCGUACUGUGAAGCAUCCUGUUAAGUCAGGCAACGAGCGAGACCCACGUCCACAGUUGCCAGCAUACCCUCCGGGGUGAUGGGCACACUGUGGAGACCGCCGCUGCUAAAGCGGAGGAAGGAGUGGGCAACGGUAGGUCAGUAUGCCCCGAAUCUCCCGGGCUACACGCGGGCUACAAUGGUUGGUACAAUGGGCAUCUACCCCGAAAGGGGAAGGAAAUCUCUUAAAGCCAAUCGUAGUUCGGAUUGAGGGCUGCAACUCGCCCUCAUGAAGCUGGAAUCCGUAGUAAUCGCGUUUCAACAGAACGCGGUGAAUACGUCCCUGCUCCUU
rnacentral:rRNA from 1 species